rnacentral:rRNA from 1 species
AUUGAACGCUGGCGGCAGGCCUAACACAUGCAAGUCGAACGAGUGGCGGACGGGUGAGUCAUGUCUGGGAAACUGCCUGAUGGAGGGGGAUAAAUACUGGAAACGGUAGCUAAUAACGCAUACCAUCGGAUGAGCCCAGAUGGGAGUAGCUAGUAGGUGGGGUAACGGCUCACCGAGGCGACGAUCCCUAGCUGGUCUGAGAGGAUGACCAGCCAAACUGGAACUGAGCCACGGUCCAGACUCCUACGGUGGGCAGCAGUGGGAAAUAUUGCACAAUGGGCGCAAGCCUGAUGCAACCAUGCCGCGUGUAUGAAGCAGGCCUUCGGGUUGUAAAGUACUUUCAGCGGGGAGGCGUUACCCGCAGAAGAAGCACCGGCUAACUCCGUGCCAGCAGCCGCGGUAAUAC